CCCCUCUCCCCCACCCUCUCUCCCGCACCCAGACCUAGCCACCACCAAUGUCAGCGGCGCCGCCGCCGCCCCGCCGCCGGACGAGGUCCCCCUCCGCCUCCCGCCCGAUGGCCCAGUACGCCUCCUCCGCGCCUCCAUGGUCCGCAAGACCUGGAGCCACACCGUCUCGCAACCGGGAUUCCGACGCCGCCUCCGCGAGCUCCACCCGGCACCCCCCGCGCUCGGGUUCCUCCACAACCGGGCCGACGAGCGCAGCCCCUGCUUCAUCCCCACCGCCGCCUCGUCCUUCUCCCUCGUCGCCCCGGACCGCCGCUUCCGGCGGGCCCCCGGCUGCCGCCACGGCCGCGCACCCCUUCCUCUGCAAGGACGGGUGCGACCACCUCGUCCUCGACUGCCUCGCGGGCCCUUUCCGCGUGGUCUUCCUCUUCGCCGUGGAGGAAGGCACCGACAACGACGCGUAUGCUCGUCGGAGACUGGCGGCUGGGGCGAGCUUCCCUCGAUGCGCUGCCAAGGCGAGUUCUCCAUGGAAUUCGCAGAACAUCCCAGCGUUCUCGUUGGCAGGUCUCUGCUCUACUCCAUGUCCACGGGGACAGUGCGUCGAUCGUGGAUCAUGACCUGGGAAGCCGCGACAUGACUCGGUUCGGCCCACCAGACAAGUACUACAAGCACGGAUGCUGUCAAGGAUGGGGAUUUUGUCAACGCCUUUGAAUGCGUUAGCCACAACCUCAUGAUCAGGGCUCCUUGUUAUGGAGAAGGUGCUCUCGAGGGUGUAGCACACUCAACAAACAUGGAUGUGCCUUGCUACCCAAAGAUUCUCCUAGUGAUGUUCCUAAGAGGGCACCAAAUGAAGAAUCGGCGAAGGGUACAACCAGCAAAGAUGAUGCUGGGAACCUACGACCUCUGAUAGCAACGUUGAUGGUGCUUCACCUUCAGAGAAGAAACUAGAAACCACGAAGUUGGUAACCAAUGCUAUCAAGGAAGGGGACUUUGUCAACACCUUUCGGACCAGUAAAUCAGGCACAUAAGCAGCUGUUCGACGAGGGAACCAAUCCUAUCAAGGAAGGGGACUUUGUCAACACCUUUGAAUGCGUCAGCCACGACCUCGAGAUCAGGCUGGUGAGUUUUUCUAUUCAGCUCAAAGAAGCGCUGUAGCACAAGAGAGGCAAUUGGUAGCAAAUCAGUCUGGUCAGAAUUCACCGGAGAGUCCUUCCUUAGAGCAGGAUUCUCAAUCGGCAGCUGAAAGAUUAGUGAGACUGACUGAUGCUGAACAUGUACCAUCUGUUCCAUGCGAGAGAAAUAGCAUGUCGAUAUCAUCUUGAAAUAAUCACAGCUGGGGGGACGAGGUUGGUAGCUGAGGGUGAUGUGCAGAGCGGGAGGAAGGAGGUGUGAGGCUUGGAACUCUCCUUGUGAAGUGCUCAGGGACAGCGGUGAGGAGCAUGGCAGGUGUCCAACUUGACCUCCUCGGCCACAGCAACAACAAGGGUGGCCGUGGCGACAAGGGAGGAGACAACAACCAGCAGAGCAAUGAGAUCGCUAAGUCUCUGAUCCCGCCACUUCCUGCUCGAUUCGCUUGGCUCCUGCGCUGAUUUCUCUUUGUUUUCCCAGGUUUGUUGUGGUUGCAGAAUGGCGCAGAGCAACUGGGAAGCGGACUACGUCUACGGACAUGAUGCGUGAUGUACACAUCCAUCACUACUAUUUGCUCAAGUGGAUCAUCCAAACGGCCAACCUGUUCAUGGUGGAGGGGGCGAUGCCUGCUAAGUCCUCCAAUUCAUGCUCAGGUGCAACCUGGAAUGAUUGGGUUUAUGACAUUGGGUGGCAGUAUAAUUCUCAUGCUGACGACAAUUAUUUUUUUGACGAGGAUUCAGUGGUUGUCUGUGGCAUGUGGUUUUGAUCAUUUCAAACUACUCCAGAGCAUACUGUUUUGCUCUCUCCUAACAGUGAUGCCUUUCAGUUCAACUAGGAACUCAUCAUUAUUGGAGUAUUUCAUCUGUAUAUACCAAAGCAAGGCGGGAGAAGAAGCAGAUUGAUUGAUGAAGGAAACACAUGAAAAAGAGGAAAAGAGCAGCUAAAUGAUUGAUGGGGCCUGUGACCUAUCCCUGUCGGUUCUCCUUUCCGCAAAUUAAACCAAUAAUCGAUAUUGUCAGUUUGAGAGUAUGCUGGAUGUGAGAGUUAAUGAAGAAGAUCACUCAUGCUGUUGAAAGUACACAAGCAGUCACUGUUAAGGUCUACCGAAAAACAUGUAGGUUUGCAAACUUCAAGAGUCAAAUGAUGGAUUUGUUCAAGAUGCGUGUUCUUGGAUUGUCAUCCUAGUAUUUGAUCAUUGAAGUUGCUCAAGGCCCAGAUGGUAUCACACUUUGCCAAACAUGAUAUGCCUUGAAAAUUCAUGAGAAGGCAGGGAUGUAAGUUAGAUUCCAAUGGAACCAAAACUGAAGCUACACAAGUCAAAAGGAUGAAGAGAUGGUGCAUCUUACAAUGUAGAGGAGUCUCGUAGGCAGCCUGAGGUAUUUGUGUAACACCAGGCCAUAUCUUGCUUACUCAGUGGGAAUUGUAAGUAGAUCCAUGCAGGAACAUACAAUGUCCCAUAUGGUUGCUAUAAAGCGGAUCUUGAAGUACAUAAAAGGAACCACUUCCCUUUGUUGUCAUUACAACAGAAAAAGGAAGAAUCACCAACACUUGUGGGAUACAGUGAUAGUGAUCUAGCGGGAGACAUCAAUGAGUUUAAGAGUACACGUGGUAACGUGUUCUUCCUUGACUCGAAUAUCAUCUCCUGGGUCUCACAAAAGCAAAGAGUAGUUGCUUUUUCAUCUUGUGAAGUAGAAUACAUUUCUGCAUCAUCAACAGCUUGUCAGGGCUUGUGGCUAGCCCGUGCUUGGUGAUUUGAGGUGCAAGGAAGUGGACUGUGUGAACCUGAAGAGUAAGGCACUGUGGCUGCAGAGCAUGUGAGAACAAGGACCAACUUGCAUAUAUACCGACGAAGCCAUUGCCGCAUUUGAAGUUCAUCGAGCUGCAAGAGGGAAUUGGUCGUUCAGUACCAAACCUUGGACAAGCUUAGGGGGGGGGGGGGGGGGGGUUGUUAGAUUAAUCAUGCCAUCUGUUAUUUAAGCUUUGCUUUCUUCUUUGAGUUUGUUGCAAUAACAAACAUGUGCAUUGGCCAUGAGGUGUAGGCGAUGCCCUGAACACUAUUGCGUCCUUGACUUGCUGGGCAUAGUGGUCCGCAGAAGUACUGGAGGCAGAGUGGGUGAGCGGGUGCAGUCGGUGGGCGUGCUCCUGAGUGUAUGCAGUGCCUACCAAAACUCUCCUCUUGGUUCUCUCGCGCUGCUAUUCCUCUGCUUCUUGGUUGUA